GGGUUGUGAGGUUAAGCGACUAAGCGUACACGGUGGAUGCCCUGGCAGUCAGAGGCGAUGAAGGACGUGCUAAUCUGCGAUAAGCGCCGGUAAGGUGAUAUGAACCGUUAUAACCGGCGAUUUCCGAAUGGGGAAACCCAGUGUGAUUCGUCACACUAUCAUUAACUGAAUCCAUAGGUUAAUGAGGCGAACCGGGGGAACUGAAACAUCUAAGUACCCCGAGGAAAAGAAAUCAACCGAGAUUCCCCCAGUAGCGGCGAGCGAACGGGGAGGAGCCCAGAGCCUGAAUCAGCAUGUGUGUUAGUGGAAGCGUCUGGAAAGGCGCGCGAUACAGGGUGACAGCCCCGUACACAAAAGCGCAUGUGUUGUGAGCUCGAUGAGUAGGGCGGGACACGUGGUAUCCUGUCUGAAUAUGGGGGGACCAUCCUCCAAGGCUAAAUACUCCUGACUGACCGAUAGUGAACCAGUACCGUGAGGGAAAGGCGAAAAGAACCCCGGCGAGGGGAGUGAAAAAGAACCUGAAACCGUGUACGUACAAGCAGUGGGAGCACAGGUUUACCUGUGUGACUGCGUACCUUUUGUAUAAUGGGUCAGCGACUUAUAUUCUGUAGCAAGGUUAACCGUAUAGGGGAGCCGCAGGGAAACCGAGUCUUAAU
rnacentral:rRNA from 1 species